rnacentral:rRNA from 1 species
UACGGGAGGCAGCAGUAAGGAAUAUUGCGCAAUGGGCGAAAGCCUGACGCAGCGACGCCGCGUGGGGGAUGAAGGUCUUCGGAUUGUAAACCCCUUUCGGGAGGGAAGAUGGAGCGAGCAAUCGUUCGGACGGUACCUCCAGAAGCAGCCACGGCCAACUUCGUGCCAGCAGCCGCGGUAAUACGAAGGUGGCAAGCGUUGUUCGGAUUCACUGGGCGUACAGGGUGUGUAGGCGGUUUGGUAAGCCUUCUGUUAAAGCUUCGGGCCCAACCCGGAAAGCGCAGAGGGUACUGCCAGGCUAGAGGGUGGGAGAGGAGCGCGGAAUUCCCGGUGUAGCGGUGAAAUGCGUAGAGAUCGGGAGGAAGGCCGGUGGCGAAGGCGGCGCUCUGGAACAUACCUGACGCUGAGACACGAAAGCGUGGGGAGCAAACAGGAUUAGAUACCCUGGUAGUCCACGCCCUAAACUAUGGAUACUAAGUGUCGGCGGGUUACCGCCGGUGCCGCAGCUAACGCA